UCUCUAAACCUUUAUUUUGAUAACCCCAUUUUGAGCACCGCCGUCUGCAUAUGAAGUUCGAAUCUCUCCCUCACUCUCUUUCUCUCUCUUUCUCGCAGAGGAUCGAAUCAAUACGAAGUUCUCUCUCUCGAUUCGGUGAUUCUUCUUCUUGAGCACAGAGCGAUUGCGAUUUUGAAGUUCGAUUUUGAGCACCGUGAUUUGGAACUCUUCUUCAGAUCCGUGAUCUUCGUCUUCUUCGAUCAGAGAGAAGGAUCGAGAAUUGGGGGAAGCCUUAGAGAGAAGGCAGUUGAAGAGAUCUGGAUAUUGGACUAGUGAUAAGAGGGAAUGGGUUGAACUAUCAAGAUCGGCCCCUUUAUUGAUCCUGUAGUUUGGGGCAAAACAGGUAAAGAUUUUGACUACCACUUUGCUUUUAUUUGUGUUCUCUUUAUAGUGUUUUAUCUAGAUUUUUGUUAUGUUUAUACAAAUAUAUUGUAUUUUUUUUUUCCAUUAAUGUUCUUCACAGUAAUUGCUUUUGUUUUGAUUGGAGUAUAAGAGUCUUUAGUGAAGAUAUGGUAAG